rnacentral:rRNA from 1 species
UACGAAGGGGGGCUAGCGUUGCUCGGAAUCACUGGGCGUAAAGGGUGCGUAGGCGGGUCUUUUAAGUCAGGGGUGAAAUCCUGGAGCUCAACUCCAGAACUGCCUUUGAUACUGAGGAUCUUGAGUUCGGGAGAGGUGAGUGGAACUGCGAGUGUAGAGGUGAAAUUCGUAGAUAUUCGCAAGAACACCAGUGGCGAAGGCGGCUCACUGGCCCGAUACUGACGCUGAGGUGCGAAAGCGUGGGGAGCAAACAGG